GAUGAACGCUGGCGGCGUGCCUAAUACAUGCAAGUCGAGCGAACGGACGAGAAGCUUGCUUCUCUGACGUUAGCGGCGGACGGGUGAGUAACACGUGGAUAACCUACCUAUAAGACUGGGAUAACUUCGGGAAACCGGAGCUAAUACCGGAUGAUAUUUUGAACCGCAUGGUUCAAUAGUGAAAGACGGUUUUGCUGUCACUUAUAGAUGGAUCCGCGCUGCAUUAGCUAGUUGGUAAGGUAACGGCUUACCAAGGCAACGAUGCAUAGCCGACCUGAGAGGGUGAUCGGCCACACUGGAACUGAGACACGGUCCAGACUCCUACGGGAGGCAGCAGUAGGGAAUCUUCCGCAAUGGGCGAAAGCCUGACGGAGCAACGCCGCGUGAGUGAUGAAGGUCUUCGGAUCGUAAAACUCUGUUAUUAGGGAAGAACAUAUGUGUAAGUAACUGUGCACAUCUUGACGGUACCUAAUCAGAAAGCCACGGCUAACUACGUG
rnacentral:rRNA from 1 species